rnacentral:piRNA from 1 species
UAAAAAACAAUGAGGAGUGUGAUGGUUGU